rnacentral:rRNA from 1 species
GGUAGAGAUCUUUCGGGAUCUUGAGAGCGGCGUACGGGUGCGGAACACGUGUGCAACCUGCCUUUAUCUGGGGGAUAGCCUUUCGAAAGGAAGAUUAAUACCCCAUAAUAUAUUGAAUGGCAUCAUUUGAUAUUGAAAACUCCGGUGGAUAGAGAUGGGCACGCGCAAGAUUAGAUAGUUGGUGAGGUAACGGCUCACCAAGUCAGCGAUCUUUAGGGGGCCUGAGAGGGUGAUCCCCCACACUGGUACUGAGACACGGACCAGACUCCUACGGGAGGCAGCAGUGAGGAAUAUUGGACAAUGGGUGAGAGCCUGAUCCAGCCAUCCCGCGUGAAGGACGACGGCCCUAUGGGUUGUAAACUUCUUUUGUAUAGGGAUAAACCUACCCUCGUGAGGGUAGCUGAAGGUACUAUACGAAUAAGCACCGGCUAACUCCGUGCCAGCAGCCGCGGUAAUACGGAGGGUGCAAGCGUUAUCCGGAUUUAUUGGGUUUAAAGGGUCCGUAGGCUGAUUUGUAAGUCAGUGGUGAAAUCUCACAGCUUAACUGUGAAACUGCCAUUGAUACUGCAAGUCUUGAGUGUUGUUGAAGUAGCUGGAAUAAGUAGUGUAGCGGUGAAAUGCAUAGAUAUUACUUAGAACACCAAUUGCGAAGGCAGGUUACUAAGCAACAACUGACGCUGAUGGACGAAAGCGUGGGGAGCGAACAGGAUUAGAUACCCUGGUAGUCCACGCCGUAAACGAUGCUAACUCGUUUUUGGGCUUUUGGGUUCAGAGACUAAGCGAAAGUGAUAAGUUAGCCACCUGGGGAGUACGAACGCAAGUUUGAAACUCAAAGGAAUUGACGGGGGCCCGCACAAGCGGUGGAUUAUGUGGUUUAAUUCGAUGAUACGCGAGGAACCUUACCAAGGCUUAAAUGGGAAAUGACAGGCUUAGAAAUAGGCUUUUCUUCGGACAUUUUUCAAGGUGCUGCAUGGUUGUCGUCAGCUCGUGCCGUGAGGUGUUAGGUUAAGUCCUGCAACGAGCGCAACCCCUGUCACUAGUUGCCAUCAUUAAGUUGGGGACUCUAGUGAGACUGCCUACGCAAGUAGAGAGGAAGGUGGGGAUGACGUCAAAUCAUCACGGCCCUUACGCCUUGGGCCACACACGUAAUACAAUGGCCGGUACAGAGGGCAGCUACACUGCGAAGUGAUGCAAAUCUCGAAAGCCGGUCUCAGUUCGGAUUGGAGUCUGCAACUCGACUCUAUGAAGCUGGAAUCGCUAGUAAUCGCGCAUCAGCCAUGGCGCGGUGAAUACGUUCCCGGGCCUUGUACACACCGCCCGUCAAGCCAUGGAAGUCUGGGGUACCUGAAGUCGGUGACCUGUAA